rnacentral:rRNA from 1 species
UACGGAGGGUGCAAGCGUUAUCCGGAUUCACUGGGUUUAAAGGGUGCGUAGGUGGGUCUGUAAGUCAGUGGUGAAAUCUCCAAGCUUAACUUGGAAACUGCCGUUGAUACUAUAGAUCUUGAAUGCUGUGGAGGUGAGCGGAAUAUGUCAUGUAGCGGUGAAAUGCUUAGAUAUGACAUAGAGCACCAAUUGCGAAGGCAGCUCACUACCCAGAUAUUGACACUGAGGCACGAAAGCGUGGGGAUCAAACAGG